rnacentral:rRNA from 1 species
GAUGAACGCUAGCGGCAGGCCUAAUACAUGCAAGUCGAACGGUGUCUUCGGACAUAGUGGCGCACGGGUGCGUAACACGUAUGCAACCUACCUUACAUUGGGGGAUAGCCUUUCGAAAGGGAGAUUAAUACCGCAUAAGACAGUAACUAGGCAUCUAGUAGCUGUUAAAGAUUUAUCGAUGUAAGCUGGGCAUGCGUCCAAUUAGCUAGUUGGUGAGGUAACGGCUCACCAAGGCAAUGAUUGGUAGGGGAACUGAGAGGUCAAUCCCCCACACGGGCAAUGAGAUACGGGCCAGACUCCUACGGGAGGCAGCAGUAGGGAAUAUUGGGCAAUGGACGCAAGUCUGACCCAGCCAUGCCGCGUGCAGGAUGAAGGCGUUAUGCGUUGUAAACUGCUUUUAUACAGGAAGAAACGACUCUUGCGAGAGGCAUUGACGGUACUGUAUGAAUAAGCACCGGCUAACUCCGUGCCAGCAGCCGCCGUAAAAC